UCCAUCCUGAAACCCUAGGAAAUUCAUUUUCUUCCCCCAUCCUCCCUGGUGGCAGCCGCCAGCAGGAGGCGGAGCCGCGGAGGCGCGGUCGCUCUCGCGCGCGGAAGCUAAGAUCCCCGUCGUCCUCCUCCCAGAUACGAUCCACCCCUCUCCUUUCUGGUCUAGUGUCCCCCCAUCAGAUCAUCAUGCUUGGCUAGGCCCUCCUCAUGGAGGCCUCACGGAGUGGGUUGGUCAGCGGCCGGCGGUCAAGUCGUUGGGCACGUCGGAGUUUGGUGAUGAUGCGCCGGCGAGCUGCAGCAGUUCAUUCGGCCAGAAGCAGAACGCCUAGAUGAAAAGUAGUCAUACUUGUGUCGCUUGAGUCUUGUUCCUCUCACUGCUUCUCUGACGCUUGGGUGGAAUAUUUGUAGAAAUCGACCUUAUUGAGCUUAUUGUAUACAGAGUGCUUGUGUUGUUUGAUCAUUUUCCUUAGCUGAUUGGUUGCAAGUACAAGCAAUGUGUUAACUGGACUGUUGUGCAAGUAGUAUUAUCGUUCUUAUCUUUGAUGCUUGUAUCAUCUUUUUUUUGAAUAGAAUGCCUGUUUUUAUGU